rnacentral:rRNA from 1 species
CCUACGGGGGGCUGCAGUGGGGAAUAUUGGACAAUGGGGGGAACCCUGAUCCAGCCAUGCCGCGUGUGUGAAGAAGGCCCUCGGGUUGUAAAGCACUUUCAGUGAGGAAGAACGCCUGGUGGUUAAUACCCAUCAGGAAAGACAUCACUCACAGAAGAAGCACCGGCUAACUCCGUGCCAGCAGCCGCGGUAAUACGGAGGGUGCGAGCGUUAAUCGGAAUUACUGGGCGUAAAGCGCGCGUAGGUGGCUUGAUAAGCCGGUUGUGAAAGCUCCGGGCUCAACCUGGGAACGGCAUCCGGAACUGUCAAGCUAGAGUGCAGGAGAGGAAGGUAGAAUUCCCGGUGUAGCGGUGAAAUGCGUAGAGAUCGGGAGGAAUACCAGUGGCGAAGGCGGCCUUCUGGACUGACACUGACACUGAGGUGCGAAAGCGUGGGUAGCAAACAGGAUUAGAUACCCUUGUAGUC